UGCGCGCGUGUGUGGGGG
rnacentral:misc_RNA from 1 species